UAAAUACUCACACCGUCCAACAAAAGAUGUCUCAAGUUUGUUAAAAUUUGGAUGUAUCUAGACAUGACUUAGUAUAUAGAUGCAUUCAAAUUUAGUCAAAGUUAAGACAUCUUUUGUUGGACGGAGUAUAUC
rfam:Brachypodium distachyon strain Bd21 chromosome 4, whole genome shotgun sequence.